GCAKGUGGUUUAAUUCGAUGAUMCGCGAGGAACCUUACCUAGGCUAGAAUGCGCGUGACCGGUUCGGAGACGGACCUUUCCUUCGGGACACAAAGCAAGGUGCUGCAUGGCCGUCGUCAGCUCGUGCCGUGAGGUGUUGGGUUAAGUCCCGCAACGAGCGCAACCCCUAUGUUUAGUUGCCAGCGCGUCAAGGCGGGGACUCUAGACAGACUGCCUGCGCAAGCAGCGAGGAAGGCGGGGACGACGUCAGGUCAUCAUGGCCCUUACGCCUAGGGCUACACACGUGCUACAAUGGGCGGUACAGCGGGUUGCCACGCAGCGAUGCGGAGCCAAUCUCGAAAAGCCGUUCUCAGUUCGGAUCGCAGUCUGCAACUCGACUGCGUGAAGCUGGAAUCACUAGUAAUCGCGUAUCAGCAACGACGCGGUGAAUACGUUCCCGGGCCUUGUACACACCGCCCGUCAAGCCAUGGAAGUCUGGUAGACCUGAAGCUGGUGCUCGUCGCAGAAGCCAGUUAGGGUAGAACAGGUAACUGGGGCUAAGUCGUAACAAGGUAGCCGUACCGGAAGGUGCGGCUGGAUCACCUCCUUU
rnacentral:ncRNA from 1 species